CACGGGGGGAGCAAGCGUUGUUCGGAAUCACUGGGCGUAAAGGGCGUCUAGGCGGUACGGUAAGUGGGAUGUGAAAGCCCCCGGCUCACCCGGGGAUCUGCAUUCCAAACUGCCGAACUUGAGUAUGGGAGAGGACAGGGGAAUUCCUGGUGUAGCGGUGAAAUGCGCAGAUAUCAGGAAGAACACCCGUGGCGAAGGCGGUUCUCUGGGACGGUACUGACGCUGAGACGCGAAAGCGUGGGGAGCGAACAGG
rnacentral:rRNA from 1 species